UAAUGUGGCUCAGGGGUAGAGCAGCUCACUCGUAAUGAGCAGGUCGUGGGUUCGAUUCCCACCAUUA
rnacentral:tRNA from 1 species